UACGUAGGGUGCGAGCGUUGUCCGGAAUUAUUGGGCGUAAAGAGCUCGUAGGCGGUGUGUCGCGUCGGCCGUGAAAACCUGCAGCUUAACUGUGGGCGUGCGGUCGAUACGGGCAUCACUGGAGUUUGGCAGGGGAGACUGGAAUUCCUGGUGUAGCGGUGAAAUGCGCAGAUAUCAGGAGGAACACCGGUGGCGAAGGCGGGUCUCUGGACAGUUCCUGACGCUGAGGCACGAAGGUCAGGGGAGCAAACGGG
rnacentral:rRNA from 1 species